ACUUCCCUGUGAACAAUUUCAAAGAGCGAACGUCUUGAUCAAAAUACUUCAUAAAUCGAAAAGACUCUUAGAAUAUAAUUAGAAUAUAAUCAUUGUGACAAAUGCCACAGGCUGCUGGCUAGAUACUACUGACCCAGUACAGGAAGGAGUGCCACCUAAAUGAGACCUAAGCAUCUCCCCACACGACAGGUCCCUUUCAGAAACUGCCCCGAUGCACAGAUGACAGAGUGGUCAAGACGACCCCUGGAGUAACUGAAUGGAGGGAGCGUACAGAGGGCUGCCCCCAGCAACGACGCUUAAGACGGUGUCGCUGCUCUCCAGUUGCAAAACAAAUCCAUCUUCUACGGCAGGAUUGGAGCAUGUGAGUCUGAAGCCACACUUCAAAUGUCAACACAGAAACCAACUGAGCUCUAA